GGCAGCAUAGCAUAGGGGUUUGAGUGCUGGACUACAACUCUAGAGACCAGGGUUCAAAUCCUUGUUCAGACA